UACGGAGGGUGCAAGCGUUAUCCGGAUUCACUGGGUUUAAAGGGUGUGUAGGCGGGCAGUUAAGUCAGUGGUGAAAUCUCCAGGCUCAACCUGGAAACUGCCAUUGAUACUAUCUGUCUUGAAUUCUGUUGAGGUGGGCGGAAUACAUCAUGUAGCGGUGAAAUGCUUAGAUAUGAUGUAGAACACCGAUUGCGAAGGCAGCUCACUAAACAGAUAUUGACGCUGAGGCACGAAAGCGUGGGGAGCAAACAGG
rnacentral:rRNA from 1 species